CUUAUCCUUGUUGAUCAUUAAAUGGAAAGCACCCUAAGAAAGAAAGAUAAACUGUGAACUAGUACAAACUAGUUCAACCAAAAAGAACAGGCCCAAUAAUUUCAUCAACGGGCAGGAAGAAAUUUAGUUACGUCACUGCGAUGCAACUCCUGUCCUAUCGAGUGUUUUGCGUCUCUUCUCGCAUCGUUCUUGGUACAGUGAUAUACAAUACGAGGUUCAUCACGGCUCGAUAGACAUGAGCGCAAGGGUCGUCCGCCCGCAUUCAUUCGUUGUCGUUUCUUGAGGAACGGUGCCCUUUCCGCUUGGACAUCCAGGGGUGCGAUUACGUGUUGAAAUCCGAGGAAGAGUCGGAAAGCGUCACAGGCUGUUUUGUAGAUACGCCAGGAACAAUGGAACCCUUCAUCCAGCGUAUGUUGGAACGUGCUAAAGCAAGGAGAGAGAAAUUAGAUGAACAAUUGUCAAAUGCCGGGCACGAUGUUAAAAAAAGGCGGAGUCCCCUGAAAAAUGCUAAUGCUUUAUUAGAACAAGCUACAGCAGCAAAUGAAAAUUUAGCCAAGUCACCAGUCAAAACAACUGCAACCAGUCCUGUUAAGUCUCCUCGCAAAUCUCCUGUAACUCCUAAAACUACUGCAUCUUUCAAUAAUAAACAAGAUAAUAAGGAAAAUGGUGAAUUUGAAACUAGCAACGUAAAAUCCAAGUUGCAGAGACUUGGAAAACUCUAUUCUGAUGAUAAUCUUGGAUUAAGUUCACCCAUACAUAGGACCGAAGAGAAAUUCACUGCAGAAGAAAAUAGUAUGGAUCAUAAACCAGCUAAGAAAGGGGCUAGAUUGGACAGAUUAGCGGCUUUAGCUUCUACAAUAAACAAUUGGGAGGAUGAUUUAUCGCAUCCAUCAUUAACCAAUCCAAAAAUCAAGCCAGUAAAUAGCAAAGCGGAAAAAAUACAAGCAAAGUUUAACGAACAAGUUAAAAAUGGAUCAGAGCCACAACCAAGCACAAGCAAAUGGGUCAGUGGAAGGAAAAGCAAAGAUUUAAGUCCUAGUAAGCAACUGAAAUGGGACAAGAACGUGUUAGAAAAUUUGGAGGCUCAAGGUUUUAGUCGUACAAAAAGCAAUUCUCGCCUUGUGUAUGACUAUAAGCAUUGUUCCCAGGAAUCAAAUGUGGUUACAAGUCGCUUAUCGCCUCACAAGUUUACGAAUUUUGCUCAUCAGCAAACGGAAAAGAAACGAUUUUCGUCCGAUAAAUCUGACGAUUCACCAAGAGACAAGAAAACGGAAAGUGACACUAGUGUGACCGCCAGUCCGGCUAACUCUUCUAAAAGCAAUGACAGUAAAGUUUCUAAUACUCCUGAAAGUGUUGUCAAAAGUGCGAAUACUAGUAGUAGUUCUCGAUUAGCGUCGAGAACGGUAUUUAACGGCUCGCCAAAGACUUUGGUUCAACCAUCAGGUUCGGUAUUAAGUAAAGCAUCGAUGUUCGAAGCCAAAAACGCAGAGAAGGCGAAAGAUCCUGCUCAAAUGUCGCUCGCUGAAAGAAUGGCGUUUUUCGAGCGAAAUAAAGGGGAAGCACCAUUAAUACCCAAAGCGCCACUUACAAUGUCGAUACCGCCUAAAAAGUUACAAGAAAAAGACAAGCCUACACAAUCAGGAUCUAAUAUAGACUCAUCUCCGUAUAAUCGCAAUGCCGACGUUCCAAGCAGAACAGUUCUUGAGCAACGUGCAAUGUUCGAACAAGGCAACAAUAGGAAUAAGGUAGAAGAAAUGGAGAAUCAUAUUUUACAAGCUACCUAUGCUGAGAGACAGCGUGAAUUAAGCAUGCUACGUUCGCGAUUUAAUGCCAAUAAGGAGGUUGCUCAUGCCGCCGCUCGAUCUUGCGUUCGAACGAGCGAAAGUAGCGAAGGAGGUGGCAAACCAUCAUCGCCGAAGAACUCGCCUAUAUGUCCGGUGAAACCGACUCCUGCUCCGGAUCAUAUUGCUCAGCCUCCGCCCCCACCACCGUUACCACAGCCAGAAAUUAUAUCGUAUCAUGUUAAAUCUUCUCCGGCAAAACGACAAGUUGUUGGAAGUCCACCCAAAAUUCAGUAUUCAAAUACAGUGUCAGAUAUUAAACGUAUCCGCGUAUGUCCUCCGAAACAGGGAUCCCUUUAUCCGAAUUUAUCCGAGAUUGAAGUUACAGAAAGCGAGAGCGAUACAGAAUACACUGUUGACAGUACCGAAGCUGUAACUGCUACUUUCGAUGAAAAGACUGAGACUGAAACUGAAACAGUCUCUGAGGCUGAUUAUUAUAUUCGACAUGAUGAAACUGAUCAGGAAACUGAAAGUGAUCAGGAAAGCACACAAAAUUCAUCUUUUGGGCGAACGAGUUUUGGACGCAGUAUCUUGCAUGCGCUUGACGAACGUUCGUUGUUUAACAAAAAGAGAUCUAUAGAACCGGAUCCAGAUAGCACUACAACAGAUAUUUCGGUACUCGAUGAAAUGGAUCAAUAUUUAGAUGAAUGUCUUGAUGAAGAAUUAUGUAAUGACAUAAGAGAGGAAGGUCCAACACCGCCUAAAGUAAACAAAAGUGGUGAAAGUCUGUCGAUGGAGUGCAAUAGUUUCAAAUAUCGUUCGCCUUUAAAAGAUAGACUAGAGGAUGGUAACAAACGCGUACCAUUAGUACGUACUGUUAGUGCAUAUAGACGACAACAAUCUCAAUUGGCUAAGGUUAAUAUAACUACGAGACAAGAAACAGGAUUAAAUUCAAUUUCUGCAGAGAAAUCCGAAGAUGAAUCGGUAUUGGUAGAAAAUAAAAUAAAAAAAUUAUUGGACGAAGUUGGAACACAACAAAAGAAGAUAGAAGAGGCUAGCAAAGCAUUAAAUUUAUGUCACUCCACUGUCGAGUUUAAUGGCUCCAGUGAACAUGUUGGAGGCGAAUGGGCUCUACUCAUUGCUACUCACAAACGUCAAGCUGCAUUGAAUGAAGUUCAAAGGCUGAAACGAGAAGGUACACUGAGACCUGUCAAGGCAGGUUCGCCAGAAGUGCAGGGAAGUGGAUCAUUAACUAUUUCUGCUAUUACGUUACCACUGAAGCAAGAAUAUUUCCGAAACAUGGGCAUGAAUACAUAUCUUCACUGUGUCUGUUUGAUGUAUUACUUAGGAGAAGUUGUCGCUACUCAAGCAGCGACUGCUGAGCCAGGCGAUUCGUGUAUUCGUUUCACUUCAUUGUUGAAAUUUGACAACUUGCAUAGCGAUUUUAAAAUUCUCGUUGAAGUAUAUACAUUUCAGACACAACCAAAAUAUUUACCACAUGAAAAGAAAUAUCAUAUCAGCCAUACCGUAAAAGCAGUCAAUAAGACGCCAAAGAAAAGAAUCAGUUUGUAAUACCGGAUAUACAGAGCCCAGCAGGUCCGACUGCAAUCAGGUCACCUUCAUUCGAAUUGUCUGGGACUGCGACAGUCACCCUUAAUGACAUAAAUCGCGAGCAAUUUACUUUACUCGGGAUUUCGUCGCAUUCUCCUUUAGAAGGACAGCUUCGAAUGCGUAUAUCACGUAAACUCUCGAUAUCGGUGGAGCAUCGCGGAUUUCUGACGCUUUACGAGGAUAUUUCGAAUUUGGGUGCUUGGCGUCGAAAAUGGUACUGGCUUAAAGACGCCAAACUUUAUUAUUGGAUGCAUCCCGAGGACGAACAUAAAAAAAGUCCAAUAGGAUAUCUUGACUUGGAGGGUGUAAUUACAAAGAAUGUACAAUUUAUAAAUCGUGAAAAAUGCGCUCGUCCCUUCACAUUUCUACUCGAGAUAUCGAGACCUGCGCAAUC
rnacentral:misc_RNA from 1 species